rnacentral:misc_RNA from 1 species
AACUUUCAACAAUGGAUCACUUGGCUCUCGCAUCGAUGAAGAACGCAGCGAAAUGCGAUAAGUAAUGUGAAUUGCAGAAUUCAGCGAAUCAUCGAAUCUUUGAACGCACCUUGCGCCCCUUGGUUAUUCCUUGGGGCAUGCCUGCUUGAGUAUCAUCAACACCUCAACUCUCACGGUCUUCCGUGACGAGCUUGGACUUUGGGGCUUUGCUGGCCCUGCGGCCGGCUCCUCUCAAACAAAUCCCCUGGCCAGUCUGUGGCGGCCUCUCUCGGGUGUGAUACCUAUCUACGCCCGCGGCUGUCUGCCAAGUAACCCUCAGCGAUGAAGGUUCAUUGGUGCGCAUAAAUGUCUCUCCUCGGCGAGGGCAGCUUUUGAACGUUCGAUGUCAAAUCAGGUAGGACUACCCGCUGAACUUAAGCAUAUCAACAAGCGGAGGC